rnacentral:rRNA from 1 species
GAUGAACGCUGGCGGCGUGCCUAAUACAUGCAAGUCGAGCGAACGGACGAGAAGCUUGCUUCUCUGAUGUUAGCGGCGGACGGGUGAGUAACACGUGGAUAACCUACCUAUAAGACUGGGAUAACUUCGGGAAACCGGAGCUAAUACCGGAUAAUAUUUUGAACCGCAUGGUUCAAAAGUAAAAGACGGUCUUGCUGUCACUUAUAGAUGGAUCCGCGCUGCAUUAGCUAGUUGGUAAGGUAACGGCUUACCAAGGCAACGAUGCAUAGCCGACCUGAGAGGGUGAUCGGCCACACUGGAACUGAGACACGGUCCAGACUCCUACGGGAGGCAGCAGUAGGGAAUCUUCCGCAAUGGGCGAAAGCCUGACGGAGCAACGCCGCGUGAGUGAUGAAGGUCUUCGGAUCGUAAAACUCUGUUAUUAGGGAAGAACAUAUGUGUAAGUAACUGUGCACAUCUUGACGGUACCUAAUCAGAAAGCCACGGCUAACUACGUGCCAGCAGCCGCGGUAAUACGUANGUGGCAAGCGUUAUCCGGAAUUUAUGGGCGUAAGCGCGCGUAGCGGUUUUUUAGUCUGAUGUGAAAGCCCACGGCUCAACCGUGGAGGGUCAUUGGAAACUGGAAAACUUGAGUGCAGAAGAGGAAAGUGGAAUUCCAUGUGUAGCGGUGAAAUGCGCAGAGAUAUGGAGGAACACCAGUGGCGAAGGCGACUUUCUGGUCUGUAACUGACGCUGAUGUGCGAAAGCGUGGGGAUCAAACAGGAUUAGAUACCCUGGUAGUCCACGCCGUAAACGAUGAGUGCUAAGUGUUAGGGGGUUUCCGCCCCUUAGUGCUGCAGCUAACGCAUUAAGCACUCCGCCUGGGGAGUACGACCGCAAGGUUGAAACUCAAAGGAAUUGACGGGGACCCGCACAAGCGGUGGAGCAUGUGGUUUAAUUCGAAGCAACGCGAAGAACCUUACCAAAUCUUGACAUCCUUUGACAACUCUAGAGAUAGAGCCUUCCCCUUCGGGGGACAAAGUGACAGGUGGUGCAUGGUUGUCGUCAGCUCGUGUCGUGAGAUGUUGGGUUAAGUCCCGCAACGAGCGCAACCCUUAAGCUUAGUUGCCAUCAUUAAGUUGGGCACUCUAAGUUGACUGCCGGUGACAAACCGGAGGAAGGUGGGGAUGACGUCAAAUCAUCAUGCCCCUUAUGAUUUGGGCUACACACGUGCUACAAUGGACAAUACAAAGGGCAGCGAAACCGCGAGGUCAAGCAAAUCCCAUAAAGUUGUUCUCAGUUCGGAUUGUAGUCUGCAACUCGACUACAUGAAGCUGGAAUCGCUAGUAAUCGUAGAUCAGCAUGCUACGGUGAAUACGUUCCCGGGUCU